rnacentral:lncRNA from 1 species
CCGCCCCACACGUUCUCUCUCGGCUCCGGCCGCUGCCCCCACCUACUCCCUCGGCUCCGGCCGCCGCUCCCCACCUUCUCCCUCGGAUCCGGCCGCCGCUCCCCACCUUCUCCCUCGGUUCCGGCCACCGCUCCCCACCUUCUCCCUUGGAUCCGGCCACCGCCCCACACUCCAACCACAGAUCGAGCUGUGGCUGUUGCCUUGCCCCAGAUCAUGCCGCCCAAAACCAUCCAUCGCCACGAGGGCCACCUGAACGACAUCCUUCCCGCGCCGCCGCUAUCUCUCCUUUCUCCGCCUUGCUCCAGCCAAGCACCUCCUCACCUCCAUUGAUGUUCAACACUUCGUCCUGUUCAUCCCAUGCCGGCUGCGCUCGUGGCCGAGCUCACUCCAAUCCCUCCACCAUGCUACCUCCUUCCGAUGGUGAGGCUUCAUCACUGCAACACCCCGACUAUUCACUGUCACCACCCCGGGCCGUUCAACGAGACGGCGCCAAGUCGUUCGAUGCUGCAACUCAGGAGUCUACCUCCUUUGACAGCUCCUGAUCUCCGGAACAGCCAUGGCUCCCUGCCGGCACAAAUCGCCAUCGACGACCUCCUUUGAUAGCUUGCCUCUGAGGCCCACCAGACCCACACAGACGAUGCUGGAUGUCCACAGCCACCAGCACAGGCCGUUCACACUCACCACUCAUGGCCGUUCUCAAAACCAUCCCAAAGUGUAGAUCGUACAUGAGGACAUGGCCGAGGUAUGUGCUUGCCCGUUUCAAGUGCUUUGUGCCAGGCUUUCACCAAAAAAUUAUCUCCGUCCUCAGCUCUAACAUGGACAGGGCCGUUCACUGUCGCCACCCCGGGCCGUUCAACGAGACAGCAAGCACAUGUUUCCAGAAUCGAGCAGUAAAAGGUACAUCAGUACACAUCUCUAUGCUGCUACAUCUGUACACAUCAGCAAGCAAAUGUAGUUUCUUUUGCUGCUACAUCAUGAGUCCAUAAUGUGCAUAAGAUGUAGUCCUGGUUUUGUAGACAAUGAGGUGUGUGGCUGGUUCUCUAUGUGUGUGUAUGUGCAUAUGUGUUAACUGGUGGCCCGUGGUGUUUGUGUGCAGGGUACUGUCGGAGAUAAGUAGUAAGCGGCAAAAUGUUUUGAGGCAGCAGCAAGACGAGGCAUAAAAGCUGGCGAGCAGGUAUGAGCAGGGAGCUGCUACU